rnacentral:rRNA from 1 species
GAUCAACGCUGGCGGCGUGCCUAAUGCAUGCAAGUCGGACGGGCUGGCUUUCGGGCCGGUCACGUGGCGGACGGGUGCGGAGCACGUGGGCAAGCUGCCCUGGGGCGGGGGAUAGCCGGCGGAAACGCCGGGCAAUUCCGCGUACGUUCAUUGGCCGGUGGGGCGGAUGAAGAAAGGCUUUUCGGAGUCACCCUGGGAGGCGCCUGCGGCCGAUUAGCUAGACGGUGGGGUAAUGGCUUACCGUGGCGAUGAUCGGUAGCUGGUCUGAGAGGACGGCCAGCCACACGGGGACUGAGACACGGCCCGACUCCUACGGGAGGCAGCAGCAAGG